UCCUACGGGAGGCAGCAGUGGGGAAUAUUGCACAAUGGGGGAAACCCUGAUGCAGCAACGCCGCGUGAGUGAAGAAGGUUUUCGGAUCGUAAAGCUCUGUCAUCCGGGACGAUAAUGACGGUACCGGAAGAGGAAGCCACGACUAACUACGUGCCAGCAGCCGCGGUAAUA
rnacentral:rRNA from 1 species